rnacentral:rRNA from 1 species
CACGUAGGGCGCAAGCGUUGUCCGGAAUUAUUGGGCGUAAAGGGCGCGUAGGCGGUUCGGCAAGUCUCUAGUGAAAUCUCAGGGCUCAACUCUGAGUCUGCUGGGGAAACUGCCGGGUUUGAGUGUGGGAGAGGAGAGUGGAAUUGCCGGUGUAGUGGUGAAAUGCGUAGAGAUCGGCAGGAACACCCAGGGGGAAACCAGUGGACUGGGCAUGUGCUGACGCUCAGGUGCGAAAGCGUGGGGAGCGAACCGG